GCAUUUUCCUACUGACCACGAAGGCUUUCGAAUCACACAAACAACUUCUGAUUAAUUUGCUGAAGAAAACAGAAUAGCAACCCGUCUGACGCAGUGCUCCCCGUCCUCCGUCUCCUGACACUGGCCAUGCAAACACUGCAGACCCUGGCACAAACCCGCCGGCUCCUCCUGCAGGUUACACAACGCACCGCGGUAUCCCUCCGCACAGUCGCAGCGGUACGUCCGUGCGUCCAACGCCACACACUCACCCUUCACACACCUGGAUUAACGGACGCAGUGAGGAAGAGGGAAAGAGCCUCAACAUGAAGGACGAAUCCACAGAAACCCAACAUUUAAGAGAACACAUAUUUGUCUUAUUAACACUUUCAAAUUAGAGCCCGACUGAUAUAUCGGCGGGCUGAUAUUAGGCAUUUUCCAAACUAUCGGUAUUGGCAUUUAUAAUGGCCGAUAAAU